AAGUCGUAACAAGGUUUCCGUAGGUGAACCUGCGGAAGGAUCAUUACAGAGUUAGGGUCUUCAGGCCCGACCUCCAACCCAAUGUCUACCUUACCAUGUUGCUUUGGCGGGCCCGUCGUUCGUUCGACCGCCUCCGGGCCAGUGCCCGCCAGAAGCCCAACCAAAUUCUCUUAAACAAUUGCCGUCUAAGUAUACAAGCAAUAAAAUAAA
rnacentral:misc_RNA from 1 species